UGCUCAUCUGAUUACCGAAAUCCUGGUUCC
rnacentral:piRNA from 1 species